rnacentral:lncRNA from 1 species
UUAAUAAUUUUUUAUUUUAUUGAUUCUCCACUUGUUUAUUUUUAUCAGAAAAUACAUAAAAAGAUGUGUUCAUUCAAAAUACAAAAGGUGAAGAGCAUUUGAAUUAACCAUCACUAUGGCAGCAGCAACCACUUGUGGCAUUACACUCCCAACGUUGAAAGUGAUUAAGUAUGAUACAUAAAACGCGACAAAAUCCAGUAUCACAUGAUAUUGUUUUAUCGCAAUGAUCCAACCUCCUAUUGACACUGCUUGCGUCUGCAAUAAUUAACAAAAUUGAUAGAUUAAUAUAAUAUUUAAAUAUAUCUUAUAUUCAUUUAGUUAAGUAUAAUUAUUUAUGUAUCUGUACUUAAUUGGUUAAAUACUUAAAAUAAAAAAUUUUAUAACACAAUAUUGUAACUUUUAUAAUUAAAAGUUGCUUCCAAGCAUUUUUACUCAUUACAAAAUGAAUUAUGAAAAAAAAUAAGAUAAAUUUCGCUACCUGAAACAAAAACCAAAGCCACGAAAAGAAUGCAAAAGAAAAACUUUGACGCACUAUUAGUAGCCAUUUUGUCAAAAUCAAUGUGUUUUCUUGCUUUUUUGAAAGAAUAUGAAUAAUUAAGCCUAUUGAUCAGUCUAU